AUAAUACUCCCUCCGUUCGGAAUUACUUGUCAUCAAAAUGGAUGUGUCUAGAACUAAAAUACAUCUAGAUACAUCCAUUUCAAUGACAAGUAUUUUCGGACGGAGGGAGUAGUAG
rfam:Triticum aestivum genome assembly, contig: Triticum_aestivum_CS42_TGACv1_scaffold_132410_2BL